AAUCUUUGGCUCGGUCAAAUUUUAUCGAGUUGUUUAUAAAACUGUUGUUAUAUGAUUCAUGUAAAUUUUCAGUGUUGAUUUAAAAGCCCAAGAAAACCAAUCUAUACUGACUUUUUGAUUUUUUCUGUGAUUUAAAUUUAAAAAAGAUAAAACUUUCGAUAAGUUAUGUAAACUCAGAACAAGUAUUUAACUUUAGAAAGCAUUUACAUGUUUCAAACUUAUAAUAUAUACAUAUAUAAUGUUUAAAAUUAUGUAUAUAAAACCUGUAUAAAAUAUGCUUAAAUAUGUUUCUCUUCUUUAAUGUGUUAAUUGUACUAUAUAUAACAUUAUUUUAAAAUUUCAAAAAGUUUAUUUCACAUACAAAAACCAUCAAUAAAAAAUAUAAUUCUCCAUCUACAACCAGAAAAAAGAAAAACUAUAAACAUAUAAAUUUAAAUUAAGAAAAACUAACAUUGGAAAAACAAAAAAUUAAUGUAAAAGAAAAAAACCGACAAAUAAUAUUAUAAAUAAAAUAAAUUUAUAAGACACAAUCCGCGCGAAGCGCGGAAAAAAUCUCUAGUAUUAUUAAAAGGGGAUCAUUUCCAGAUUAUACCUUUAAUGAAAAUUGUAAUUUUCUCAAAAAUACCCUUAUUUUUUUACAAAAAAUUAAUAAAAUUCAUUAAUGGCAUUUAAGUCUUUUGGUUUUAG
rnacentral:lncRNA from 1 species